rnacentral:lncRNA from 1 species
CCAGAACAAGAAGGGACGGCCCCAGCACCACCACGCCUCCGCCGCCGACAAGGUCCACCCCCAUCUCAUCUUGUCUCCACCCCCAUCUCGCUCGCGCGCAUACUGCACACUCGGAUGGGAUCCAUGAUUCCGCACACGUGCUAGCUACUACCGAUCUCGCUCUCACACACAGGGAUCAGUCAGUGGUGUCUGCGAUUAUAGUCCAAUAGAUUCGAUUCGGAGUGUAUCCUAGGAGAACAUAAUCUUCAUAGUUCAUCCAUUCCUGCACUUUCUGUUGAAAUGUAGACAUUCAUAGUUCCAUAUAAAUAUUGGAAUGUGCGGUGAGUGUGGUCUCAGCUGAAUUGUGUGUUUUCUUCCAGGAGGCGGCCAAGAAGCACCACCACCUCGACCUCAACACCCUCAGGGGACACACCGACUGCGUCACUGCGCUUGACUUCUCCAGCGACGCCUGCAACCUAACCACCGGUGAGCCUACCCUCAGCCUCCCAUUCGAUCAGGAUCUAUCAUGCUUACGCACAGAAACGUUUUAAUUUCCCC